rnacentral:rRNA from 1 species
UACGAAGGGUGCAAGCGUUACUCGGAAUUACUGGGCGUAAAGCGUGCGUAGGUGGUUUGUUAAGUCUGAUGUGAAAGCCCUGGGCUCAACCUGGGAAUUGCAUUGGAUACUGGCAGGCUAGAGUGCGGUAGAGGGUAGUGGAAUUCCCGGUGUAGCAGUGAAAUGCGUAGAGAUCGGGAGGAACACCAGUGGCGAAGGCGGUCAACUGGCCCUCAACUGACGCUGAGGCACGAAAGCGUGGGGAUCAAACAGG